rnacentral:rRNA from 1 species
GACGAACGCUGGCGGCGUGCUUAACACAUGCAAGUCGAACGGAAAGGCCCUGCUUUUGUGGGGUGCUCGAGUGGCGAACGGGUGAGUAACACGUGAGUAACCUGCCCUUGACUUUGGGAUAACUUCAGGAAACUGGGGCUAAUACCGGAUAGGAGCUCCUGCUGCAUGGUGGGGGUUGGAAAGUUUCGGCGGUUGGGGAUGGACUCGCUGCUUAUCAUCUUGUUGGUUGGGUAGUUGCUUACCAAGGCUUUGACGGGUAGCCGGCCUGAGAGGGUGACCGGCCACAUUGGGACUGAGAUACGGACCAGACUCCUACGGGAGGCAGCAGUGGGGAAUAUUGCACAAUGGGCGGAAGCCUGAUGCAGCAACGCCGCGUGCGGGAUGACGGCCUUCGGGUUGUAAACCGCUUUCGCCUGUGACGAAGCGUGAGUGACGGUAAUGGGUAAAGAAGCACCGGCUAACUACGUG